GCAGACGACCAGGCGUUCGCUCCGGCAGUUUUCUGUCGGGGAGGAAAGUCCGGGCUCCGCAGGACGCGAUGGUGGGUAACACCCACCGUCCGUGAGGACAGGGCAAGUGCAACAGAAAGCAAACCGCCUCAGCGAUCUUCCUUCGGGAAGUUUGCGAAGCAAAGUCGGCAACGACUUUCGGGGUAAGGGUGAAACGGUGCGGUAAGUGCGCACCAGCGGUUCAGGUGACUGAGCCGGCUGGGUAAACCCCAUCGGGAGCAAGGCCAAGCAGAAAGGAGCGAUGUCUUUGCACAUCCACGAACCGGUCCGGUUCGUCUGACUUUCGGGUCGGCUGCUACAGGUGCCAGGCAACUGUCAUCGCAGAUAAAUGAACGCCCUCGACAGAACCCGGCUUAUCGAUCCUCUGUCGAU
rnacentral:RNase_P_RNA from 1 species